UACGUAGGUGACAAGCGUUGUCCGGAUUUACUGGGCGUAAAGAGCGCGCAGGCGGUCGAUCAAGUCGAGUGUGAAAGCCCCCGGCUCAACUGGGGAGGGUCAUUCGAUACUGAUCGACUCGAAGGCAGGAGAGGGUAGUGGAGUUCCCGGUGUAGUGGUGAAAUGCGUAGAGAUCGGCAGGAACACCCAGGGGGAAACCAGUCGACUGGGCAUCUACUGACGCUGAGGUGCGAGAGCGUGGGGAGCGAACCGG
rnacentral:rRNA from 1 species